UGCACGGUGGCACAGUUGGUAGUGGGCAAGAAGCAGCAAGAAGGUCCUGGGUUCGACUCCCGGCCGGGGGUCUUUCUGCAU